UGUCAGAUGUGUGCUCUUCCCAGCUCGGGAAGCUACAGGUUACAACAGAUUUGUGAACUCAGCCAAGCACAGUGGUGGCAGGACCUAGCUGCUACAAAGAAGACAUGUUUUAGACAAUACUCAUGUGUAUGGGCAAAAAACUCGAGGACUGUAUUUGUGACUAAUUGUAUAACAGGUUAUUUUAGUUUCUGUUCUGUGGAAAGCGUAAAGCAUUCCAACAAAGGGGAAGAUCGUGGUGUAGGGAAAGAGAGUAAG